UAUGUUCUUAGUUUGCUCUAGUUCUAUAUUUGAUAUAGUUCUAAUUGAUAAUGAGUUUAUGUAUAAGUUUGCAAAGCGUUUAGCUCUUGACGCGAGGGAGUUAGGUGAUAGAUUACAUGUGAGCGUGGUGCUUAGAUGUUAUUUAUCUGCAAAUGUAUCCUAUUGGCCGAGUCGUGUGGUAGUUCGCGAUAGUGACAGCUUCGUUGAUUCUUAUAUAGUCCACCCUCCGUUGAUAGGACAGGCAGAACCGGUAUUGUGGAGUAAGUCAUGCGAUGUUCUGAUUUACUUUAUCAAUGUUCCUU
rnacentral:lncRNA from 1 species